rnacentral:tRNA from 1 species
CCGUCGCUUUAGUCCACUCANCCAUCUCUCC